CUCACGGAUGAGCUGGAUGGGAACCUCUGGGAUCCUCUGGAUGACUUUGGUGGCAAAAUCCUAAAUGAGAUGCAAGAGGACAUAAGAGACCUAUGGAUCCAGGAAAGAUUCCACAUCAUUUACCUCCUUGAAGCCAUAAUGGCGCUGAGUGACACCCAACAUGAUCUGCGGGCCUAGUCCAUGAAGAAGAGGAUCCUGCUCCAGCAGCAGGAGCUG